GGGCAAAUGCUCACCUUCGAUGGCCACUGGCACGCUGGAGAAGUGUGCUCUUCACGGAUGAAUCCCGGUUUCAACUGUACCGGGAAGAUGGCGAGUAGUAUGGCGUUGUGUGAGUGAGCUGUUUGCUGAUGUCAACGUUGUGAACAGAGUGCACCAGGGUGGGGGUGGAGUUAUGGUAUGGGCAGGCAUAAGCUACGAACAACGAACACAAUUGCAUUUUAUCAAUGUCAAUUUGAAUGCACAGAGAUACCGUGACGAGAUCCUGUUGCCCGUUGUCGUGCCAUUCAUCUGCCCCCAUCACCUGAUGUUUCAGCAUGAUAAUACACUGCCCCAUGUCGCAAGGAACUGUUCACAAUUCCUGGAAGCAGAAAAUGUCCCAGUUCUUCUUAUGGUCUGCAUACUAACCAGACGUGUCACCCAUUGAGCACGUUUGGUAUGCUCUGGAUCGACGUGUACGACAGUUCCCGACAAUAUCUAGCAACUUCGUACAGCCAUUGAAGAGGAGUGGGACAACAUUUCACAGACCACAAUCAACAGCGUUAUCAACUGUAUGUAAAGGAGAUGUGUCGCGCUGCUUGAGGCAGAUGGGGGUCACUUCAGAUACUGACUGGUUUUAUGAUCCAAGCCUUUUUUUGUAGUUGGAUAUAUCCAGGUAUCACACGAAGGGCCACUGUAGGAAGCUUGGCUCGCCAAAGAAUGAUACCACAGAUGAUCUUCCUGAUAACACUAGGACUGCAGAGAGAGCCUCAAUGAGAUGGCCACCCUCCCUCACGGUUUUGAGGACAGCAGAGCCACACGUACGACAGACGCAGUCCAUCCCCACUCACCCUCCCUGCACCCCCCUGAAGCACACCCCACCCGGUCCUUAUGGACAUGGAUAUCCACCACAUCCACCUCAGCCUUCAGCCAAGGAGCGGUCCAAGUCGGUGGAGCCCAGAUACGAGCCCCGCCACCUGGACUUUAACUUCCUGCGCAGAGCCUCUGCCAUAGAGCAGGUAGAGGGGGAGCUCCAGUACCGGUGUGCUGGGUGCCUGUUGCUCUAUCCCAGCUUGGCCGUGCUGCAGAACCACAUCGGCCUCAGCUGGAUGGAGGGCUUCAGCUGCCGCGUCUUCUACAGGAAGCUGAGGGAGAUCUGCAACAGGAACGAAACCAAGAAGCUCCACGAGAGGGUCCAAACAAGUAGUGUCGCUGAGAAGCAGCUGAGGCCACCAACGUGUGGGGCAGCGCUGGGCCUUGCUAGAGGGGGUAGGAGUGGAGGGCAGACAGGGCUGAAGCAGGGAGAUCCUCCUGGAGCUGCUGCAGGAAGGAAGGACCAGGGGGCACCCAGCCACAGGUUGACUCUGGAGUCGGUGGAGACCAUAAGAAGGAACACAGCCGUUCACAAGUGGCUGAAUGAGAUUGAAUGUUACCCCUUCCCUGAUGUCACCCAGUCACCAGAGAGAGCAUAAAAACAUCCCUCUUUUUGAUUCAUCAGUUUCACUGAAUGAGAAAGACUAUUGGCACUGAAUUAAAGACUAUUGGCAUUGAAUUAAAAACUAUUGGCAUUACAUUUCUCAGUGUAAAGGUGUCAUUGCUGUCCUUAGAGGAUUUGCUCUGGGAUGGUGGGACUGGUUUGUGUUAUUCACAGGCAGAUAAGUUGCUGUCUGUGUUCACACACGUGUGAAUUAAAAUACCAUCACUGCUGACCGGG
ensembl:lncRNA